rnacentral:misc_RNA from 1 species
CGCUCUCCUUCUCCUUGGGAAGAAGAAAAGGUAAGAUCUAGAUCCCAGUCUAGGUCAUGGUCGAGGCCAAGAGGAAGAUCUAGGUCCAGAAGUCAAGGAAGAGUUGAACCUUCUAAUCCUGGCACCACACUUUAUGUAACUGGUUUAUCCACAAGGGUGACACAGAGGGACCUUGAGGAGCAUUUCUCAAAGGAGGGAAAG